UAGACAGCCAACUCUGCUAGGUUAGCUAGGA
rnacentral:piRNA from 1 species